ensembl:lncRNA novel transcript
ACACCAGCAGGAGGGGCAUUCAGGAUAAGCGUGUUUGUCAUUUGAGGCUUCUAUCUGCUCCAAAAGGAACUCUAAAUCUUCCUUAUGAAGGCACUGACAUUUAGUUUGGCACAUUUUCAGAUACUAGAAAAAGAACCAUGACUUGACAAAAAAAAAAAAAAAAAAGUUUAGUUAAUACAAAGCAGAAGAGGCAAUUAUUUCAAGCCAUUUAGAGAAUAAUUUGAACAUAAAUGUGCAAAUAUAUAAGUUUUUAGGUGCUGAGAUUUCUUUUUUUUUUCCUGUCAGUGAACACCGUGUACAUCAAGGAAGAUAAUUACAACUUUUUCAAGUCUUCUAAAAUCGAACUCCCUGUGGUGGCGACCAGUAUCUUCAAACUCAUACCAGAGUAAAGCCUUAUCCAUUUGGAGUUCUUUCUGAUGCAUUAUGUGAGAAAAACAAGCAAACAAAUGAACACUUAUUUGUAUUUGAAUUGCACUAAAUUUAUACAUGAAACUGAAAAAAACUGAUAUCUUUAUGAAGCUGCAUAAUCCUAUCCAAGGACAGACGUCUCCUUCCAUUUGCUUUUGCUUUACUAAUUUGAAUCUAUGUUAUUUGUUUUGGAUACAUCUGGAAUUGACUUUUUUGCAUGGUGUAAGAAAUAACAGUUCUUCCUGGAUCAGCCCUCUCCCGUCUGUCAUCUCCAACAGAUACAAAGCCAGCUUUAAGAAGACCAAACCUACAAAAAUCAUUCAUGCUUUCUGCCUCCAUGUUUUUCUUUCCAACCUAGUUCCUCCAGAAAAUGUAAAAGAGCAACCGAACCGUCAACUGGUACAAUGACUUCUACACAUCAGACCUCGGCCACGCCACAGUCAUCAGAUUAUUCUAUCACAGGGUCUCUCAACCGUGGAAUAUGGUCUCCAAGGGAAACAAGCCACAGAGGGCUCAGGAGCAUUGCUAUAAAGAGUAGGCAAAUGGAAAUCUUUCCCCAAAGGGCACACUGGGAUUGUUAGGCGAGGGCUGCUCAAUCCAUUAAAAGUUUAAACUCGAAAAAAAAAAAGAAAAAAAAAA